GUGCUCGCUUUGGCAGCACAUAGACUAAAAUUGGAACGAUACAGAGAAGAUUAGCAUGGCCCCUGUGCAAGGAUGACAUGAAAAAUAAAUAAAUCAAUCUUU
rnacentral:snRNA from 1 species